AUGCUGGCCGACUUCGUCCGCCGGGAUUCGGAAUGCCGCGAGACUUUGCAAGGGGCCUCCAUGUGCUAAAAAUAGGCCGCGGGCAAAGCCGCGCCCAAAAAUAACCGCCCGACGGCCGGGGCGCCAAGUUCGUCCAGCGGAAAAAGGCCACAAAAACGGGUGGACUAUAGCCUUGGGGGGUGGGGCUGGCCAACUUCGUCCGCCGGACUCGGAAUGCCGCGAGACUUUGCGAGGGGCCUCCGUGUGCCAAAAAUAGGCCGUGGGAUGUUUAAAAGGUUCGUGGUUCAAAAUUUUUUGUUAUCUAGUGAUAUAAUUUUGUAGUGCAUUUUAUAGAUAGGCAGCAGCAUCAAGUUCCGGGGCGCCAAGUUCGUCCAGCGGAAAAAGGCCACAAAAACGGGUGGGCUAUAGCCUUUGGGGGUGGGGUUGCCCAACUUCGUCCGCCGGACUCGGAAUGCUGUGAGACUUUGCGAGGGGCCUCCGUGUGCCAAAAAUAGGCCGCGGGCAAAGCCGCGCCCAAAAUUAACUGCCCGAAGGCCGGGGCGCCAAGUUCUCCCAGCGGAAAAAGGCCACAAAAACGGGUGGGCUAUAGCCUUGGGGGGUGGGGCUGGCCAGCUUCGUCCGCCGCACUCGGAAUGCCGCGAGACUUUGCGAGGGGCCUCCGUGUGCCAAAAAUAGGCCGUGGAAUGGUUAAAAGGUUCGUGGUUCAAAAUUUUAUGUUAUCUAGUGAUAAAAUUUUGUAGUGCAUUUUACGGAUAGGUAGCAACAGCAAGUUCCGGGGCGCCAAAUUCGUCCAGCGGAAAAAGGCCACAAAAACGGGUGGGCUAUAGCCUUGGUGGGUGGGGCUGGCCAACUUUGUCCGCCGGACUUGGAAUGCCGCGAGACUUUGCGAGGGGCCUCCGUGUGCCAAAAAUAGGCCGCGGGCAAAGCCGCGCCAAAAAAUAACCGCCCGAAGGCCGGGGCGCCAAGUUCGACCAGCGGAAAAAGGCCACAAAAACUGGUGGGCUAUAGCCUUGGGGGGUGGGGCUGGCCAACUUCGUCCGCCGGACUCGGAAUGCCGCAAGACAUUGCGAGGGGCCUCCGUGUGCCAAAAAUAGGCCGCGGGCAAAGCCGCGCGCAAAAAUAACUGCCCGAAGGCCGGGCCGCCAAGUUCGUCCAGCGGAAAAAGGACACAAAAACGGGUGGGUUAUAGCCUUGGGGGGUGGGGCUGGCCAACUUCGUCCGCCGGACUCGGAAUGCCGCGAGACUUUGUGAGGGGCCUCCGUGUGCCAAAAAUA
rnacentral:lncRNA from 1 species